CGCUAUCAUCCUACGGGAGGCAGCAGUGGGGAAUAUUGCACAAUGGGGGAAACCCUGAUGCAGCCAUGCCGCGUGUGUGAAGAAGGCCUUCGGGUUGUAAAGCACUUUCAGUUAGGGAGGAAGGUAGUGUAGUUAACACCUGCACUAUUUGACGUUACCUACAGAAGAAGCACCGGCUAACUCCGUGCCAGCAGCCGCGGUAAUACGGAGGGUGCGAGCGUUAAUCGGAAUUACUGGGCGUAAAGCGCAUGCAGGCGGCCUGUUAAGUCAGAUGUGAAAGCCCGGGGCUUAACCUCGGAAUUGCAUUUGAAACUGGCAGGCUAGAGUCUUGUAGAGGGGGUAGAAUUUCAGGUGUAGCGGUGAAAAUGCGUAGAGAUCUGAAGGAAUACCAGUGGCGAAGGCGGCCCCCUGGACAAAGACUGACGCUCAGAUGCGAAAGCGUGGGGAGCAAACAGGAUUAGAUACCCUGGUAG
rnacentral:rRNA from 1 species